GUGAAUCAUCGAAUUUUUGAACGCAAAUUGCACUCUCUGGUAUUCCGGAGAGUAUGCCUGUUUGAGGGUCAGCCUAAAAAAAAUCGACAUGGUUGCUGUUACGCGGUAACAUUCGUCGGAAAUUGGGUCAUCUUAAACCUUUGGGUUUAAGCGGCUUAAAAUUUUCUUUACGAUUCCAAGAACGUUUCUAAGAUUUUAUUUUCUUAUACGUUUAAGGUAUCGAUCUUAUUUAGACGUGGCCGUUGAUUCGGUCUUCGCCCAAAAU
rnacentral:misc_RNA from 1 species